UCCCAACAUAUCCGUUCAUCAUCGCAGCCAAUCGCCGUCGCCUCCUGUCCGUCGUGUUCACCGACCAUCUUCUCCGUUCGUCGCCGGCCAGACUAUAUUCCGACCAGAAACUCUGUUUUUGUUCAUCGCAGUCCAGAAAAUAAACUAUAUUGAAUAGACCGUCCAGAUCAGUUCAUCUCUGUUUGGGUUAUUCUGGCCAGAAAUUAGCCCUUCAUCAUCACCGUCUAUGAUACCGGAUUUGAUCCUGUAUCAAUCUGUUAGUACGAGGAACCUUAGAGUUCCCCCCAAUUCUUGUGUACAGAGCUCUCGUCCAAUUCCAGCCACCACUGAUUCUAAUCCUCCAGGAAAGCUACCCGCGCACAGCUUUAAUACAUAUAUGGGUGCGUGUUUGAAUUUAAUUAAAUUAAUAAUCACAAUGCGAAUCAAUUUAUCUAACAUCGUAACCUGAUUGAUCUUCUCCCAAAUGAUUAUAAUUAAGAUCAGGAUCAUUCUUGUCACUCUUCUCCACCUACUGCGUAAUCAUGUUGAACGAUGAUGAAGGUUUAUAAGAAUGUUGACCACAACCGAGUUGCUGCUGCAUAUUCAUCGAAUGCUUAUGAUGACCCAUCUCAUUCAAAUUCAUUACAGCCGUUUCGGCUUGGCUACUACCAUCCAAUUGGUAAUCUUGGGUGUUAAUCCCGAAAAAAUCAGAAAAAUUCACUGGAUUUAUGUUGUACCUAGACGUAUCCCUGAAUAAUCAAUCAAUCAAUCAUAGAGUUAUCAAAAUACCCAAUUGAAAUCGAACUAUAUUAUGUAUGUUAAUUACUUGUGAUCGAGAGGAGUGUUAUUUUGCAUAGGACGAGGAGC
rnacentral:lncRNA from 1 species